AGCAGCCGCGGUAAUUCCAGCUCCAAUAGCGUAUAUUAAAGUUGUUGCUAGUUAAAAAGCUCGUAGUUGAAUUUCGGGGUCAGCAAGUUGGUCGUGCCACCGGUAUGUACUGGCUUUGCUGAUUCCUCCUUCUUGUAGAACCGUAAUGCCAUUAAUUUGGUGUUGCGGGAAAACAGGACUGUUACUUUGAAAAAAUUAGAGUGUUUAAAGCAGGCUAACGCUUGAAUACAUUAGCAUGGAAUAAUGAAAUAGGACGACGAUCCUAUUUUGUUGGUUUCUAGGAUUGACGUAAUGAUUAAUAGGGAUAGUUGGGGGCAUUAGUAUUCAAUUGUCAGAGGUGAAAUUCUUGGAUUUAUUGAAGACUGACUACUGCGAAAGCAUUUGCCAAGGAUGUUUUCAUUAAUCAAGAACGAAAGUUAGGGGAUCGAAGACGAUCAGAUACCGUCGUAGUCUUAACCAUAAACUAUGCCGACUAGGGAUCGGAUGAUGUUAAUUUUAUAAUUGACUCAUUCGCGCCUUAAC
rnacentral:rRNA from 1 species